rnacentral:lncRNA from 1 species
AAGGCAUCCUCACCAAUUAUUUUGACAUAAGUAUUUCCUAUCAGAGAAUAUCAGGUGGAACACAUUUUACAUCACGUGUAGGGAUGUAAAACUAGUGACAAGGAUAAAGAGGUACAGCAUCCUCUUAAGUACUUUAACUUAUUUGACUCUGAAGCAUACUCAUAUUUAGUCUUUAGGUUGCCAUAAAACUACUUUUCUGAGCUAUAACUAUUUUUUAAGUACAGCUAAAGUGCAAGAUAAUAGUGGACUCUCAAAAGGUUCAAAAGUGGUGAAAAAAUGCAAUAUUGGUGCUUAAUAUCCUUGAAAUUAAAUAAACUUACAGAAGAGAAAAUACUGUUAUAUACUGAGACUAAACGAAUAAAUCCAACAAACCCCAGGAUUUAGUGUGGGAUUAGAUUGUGAGGGGAGAUAACAUGUUGCAAGUAUUCCAUCUGUUAGCAGAAGGAAAGAGGAGAACUAGGACAUUAAAAUCCUGGGUUUCUUGGAGGUUUUUUUAAAAAUUGUUUUUGGUUUGUUUUUUAAAGAUGAAGGAAGAGGGGCACCUGGAUAGCUCAGUUGGUUAAGCGUCUGUCUUUGGCUCAGGUCAUUACCCCAGGGUCCUGGGAUUUAGCACCAGGUGGGCUCAGCAUGGAGUCUGCUUCUCCCUCUUCCUUUGCCCUUUCCCCAGCUUGUGCAAGCUCUCUCUCUCUCUCUAGCUCGCUUAUUGUCUCAAAUAAAUAAAUAAAACCUUUGAAAAAUAAAAAUGAAGGAAAGUAUAAAUCAACUUGCAGAGAAAAUACCUGGUAUUUUGUUUCUCUACAGAUUAGAGACAUAAACGUGUAAAUGUGACAAACAGAAAGAGGUUAUGCCAUUAACAAAAUGGAAAUGUGGAGUCGGAUGCCCCACUGCCGUGUAUAGGAUACAGGAAAAGAGAUGUGGGAUAGGAAGCACAUAUUACUUCAUCACUUGAAUCUCAGCUACAGAGAGGCUUCUCAGGACAAGUACCUUCCUAACUGUUCUUUGAAAAGUGUACCCUUGGAUCACUUGAAAGCUUCAGAAAAAGGAUAGUGAGGUAAGUACAAAUCUACUGGGUUUAGUAGAAGUAUGAAAUUGCUUAUCCUAUUUGAGCUUUUGUGUGUCUUUUAAAGGUUAUAUUUAA